rnacentral:rRNA from 1 species
CGUAGGUAACCUGCCUGGUAGCGGGGGAUAACUAUUGGAAACGAUAGCUAAUACCGCAUAAGAGUAGAUGUUGCAUGACAUUUGCUUAAAAGGUGCAAUUGCAUCACUACCAGAUGGACCUGCGUUGUAUUAGCUAGUUGGUGAGGUAACGGCUCACCAAGGCGACGAUACAUAGCCGACCUGAGAGGGUGAUCGGCCACACUGGGACUGAGACACGGCCCAGACUCCUACGGGAGGCAGCAGUAGGGAAUCUUCCGCAAUGGACGAAAGUCUGACGGAGCAACGCCGCGUGAGUGAUGAAGGUUUUCGGAUCGUAAAACUCUGUUGUUAGGGAAGAACAAGUACGAGAGUAACUGCUCGUACCUUGACGGUACCUAACCAGAAAGCCACGGCUAACUACGUGCCAGCAGCCGCGGUAAUACGUAGGUGGCAAGCGUUGUCCGGAAUUAUUGGGCGUAAAGCGCGCGCAGGCGGUCCUUUAAGUCUGAUGUGAAAGCCCACGGCUCAACC